AUUGUACGCUGGCGGCAGGCCUAACACAUGCAAGUCGAGGGACCGGCGCACGGGUGAGUAACACGUAUCCAACCUGCCCUUUACUCGGGGAUAGCCUUUCGAAAGAAAGAUUAAUACCCGAUAUAAAGGAUGGGGAUGCGUUCCAUUAGGUUGUUGGUGAGGUAACGGCUCACCAAGCCUUCGAUGGAUAGGGGUUCUGAGAGGAAGGUCGCCCACAUUGGAACUGAGACCCGGUCCAAACUCCUACGGGCGGCAGCAGUACGGAAUAUUGGUCAAUGGGCGCUAGCCUGAACCAGCCAAGUAGCGUGAAGGAUGAAGGCUUAUGGGUCGUAGACUUCUUUUAUAUAAGAAUAUGUAUUAGAUGAAUAAGGAUCGGCUAACUCCGUGCCAGCAGCCGCGGUAAUUC
rnacentral:rRNA from 1 species